UGACCACUUUUUCUUUUGGAAAAAGUUAAGGCAUCGGUUCGCCGGGUCAAAUGCCGA
rnacentral:sRNA from 13 species